UUGCAGUGUUUAGGGAUGAGGGCUUUCUGGGGUGCUGUGCACAGGCAACGUGGAGCUGCAAAGUGAUCACAAUGUCAUGUUCAGAUGAGCCAGUUUGUUCCAGGAGAGUAAACUGCCAGGGAAUGCAGUGCUGUGGAGAGUGUGCCUGGUGGGUCAGGGCAUGCUGGGGCUGUGUGAAUACUCAACAAUACUGUGACAGGCUGUGGUGUGCUGAUUUCUUCCAGAAGUAAGAGGCUGGCUGAAAAAUCCAGGCCGGGCUUCAGAUAUGGAAAAUACCCAAACUAAAUCUGCCCUGGAUUUUGCAAUGCUGCCUACUGGAAAUGCCACCUGCAGCUUCAGGCACAUCUCCAUUUCAUGGACAGCUUUAUGCUCAUUUUCUGUGAAAUGCAGAAAAUGCUACAGAGUGCAGGGUCUCUAACACUUCCUGGGAAACAGAAGCUGCAGUGAGGACACCAGCAUGGUACAAGUCUUAACAGCCAGAGACUGAAGAAUCUCCUCCCUGAGGAUCUAGAAUUAAAAUAAAGGACUGAGCACGGCAUGGGAAGAAAAAGGACCAAACUUGUCUAUCCAAAGGCAUAUCACAGUGGCUUUUGGCAUUAUCAUGCACGAUUAGAAGAAAUAUUCAACAGUUUGGAGCAAGCAGAACAAAACACUGACAGCUCAGAACUCUGAAACAUCCAGUUUGCAGCGUAAU